rnacentral:rRNA from 1 species
AACGAACGCUGGCGGCAUGCCUAACACAUGCAAGUCGAACGAGACCUUCGGGUCUAGUGGCGCACGGGUGCGUAACGCGUGGGAACCUGCCCUUAGGUUCGGAAUAACUCCCCGAAAGGGGUGCUAAUACCGGAUAAUGUCUUCGGACCAAAGAUUUAUCGCCUUUGGAUGGGCCCGCGUUGGAUUGGCUAGUUGGUAGGGUAAAAGCCUACCAAGGCGACGAUCCAUAGCUGGUCUGAGAGGAUGAUCAGCCACACUGGGACUGAGACACGGCCCAGACUCCUACGGGAAGCAGCAGUGGGGAAUAUUGGACAAUGGGCGAAAGCCUGAUCCAGCAAUGCCGCGUGAGUGAUGAAGGCCUUAGGGUUGUAAAGCUCUUUUACCCGGGAUGAUAAUGACAGUACCGGGAGAAUAAGCUCCGGCUAACUCCGUG